GAUUAAGGCUUAGUUGUUGUUGAUAUAUGGAUACAUAAUAUGCGAGUGACAGCAGAGAUAAAAAAAGAAUUAAAAUGAAAAAUCUACAAGUUAUGCAAGACAUAUAGAUGGAAACCAAGGCGGAACAGGGAGACUUUAAUAAUCAACUUGUGAAACCAAUACAAGUUUUAAAACCCAAUGGAAGAUAGAUUAAUACCCAAGACCAACUGCAAGU
rnacentral:misc_RNA from 1 species